CUUUACUCGACGCACUUGUUUAAAACCAGAAAAGAAAUAAGCUUGUCAUAAGGACAAAGGUGUCCUAAGAAGAGUAAGAACUUCAAGAAAGAAUGCUUAUUAGAAGAGUGAUACUGAUACCUGCUCGGUUUUUUGAUUUAACAGACUCCGGACUAGCAGCCAUGGCAGAUGAUACAGACUGGAUGAAGCUACCUGCGGACCAGACAUGUGAACGCAAGGAUGCUGUGCUGUGGAGUUUCUCAAGCUCCACUUCCCCCUCCCUCAAGCAGAACUUAACUAUCAGCUUACUGACCUGAAGCCCAGCUCUUUCAUUUCUCAAGCCUGCAGAUGGUAGACUUUAAAGAUGUGGUUAGGAAAGAUGUUGGAGCCAUUGUGAACAAAAUGUAUCCCGCCAGCAAAAGUUUUGCCUUCAUACUGUGUGGAUUAAAGUCUGCCUACUCAAACCUGAGAGCUGGUGUUCUGGCACCCAGAAAACUACCAGCCCCGUAGCAGCAGCCACUGGCUCUGUCGCAACUCCAAACCCAAGUUCAGCCUGGACCUCUGCCUGCUGCACACGUCUCCUGUUGUUGGUCCCUGAGCUGCUGCAAUACAACCUGAGCUGAUCUUGUCUGAUGCGGAACGACAUAGUUCCUGUGAGUCCUGACACAAUCAGCAGCAGUGGGAGCCCUCAGCUCAGUCUGCUCGCCGUCUCGCAGGCCUCUCAUGCCAGAACGGUGACCUGGGAAACAUCCAACUGGAACCUCCUCCCCCUGCAGCCACCUCUGAAGGUUUCAUACUGACUGAAGUCGUGCUACGAUCACACCGCAUCCAACCAGCGCUGCACAGUGGGAGUGUAAGACAUACUUAGAUGAGAGCUGUUGCUGAGGGAGUCACUCCAUCACUUCUCUGGCGACCUGCGCGGUGCCAGGCUAUGAAUGCUUGGCUGAAGAGCAGCACGAGAACAGGUGUCCUAAUUGGGUAGCUAACACAGGUUGCAGUCUGCUGGGGCUACAGCAUGUCAGACAUGAACACGAGGAGACUGGACAAGCUGCUCAAAAAGGCUGGGUCUGUGCUCUGGACUCACACAGGACUGUUGUGGAGAGACACGUGCAAUCUUGGCGUGGCUUCGUAGAUCCUGCUCCCUCCAGUCUCCAUCCGCACCUGCUGUUCAUCUCACAAUCAACUCCACAAUCACCUGCGGCUCAACUCUUCACUCAUCGCAAGAUCGUUCCGUAUUAUGCUAUCGCCAGGCUUUGCCUUUUUGGAAACCUUUUUUGCUCUGUGUCUUGUUGAACUGUUCAUUAACCCUGAGAAUCCUGUGCCUUAGGUUCAUUCUUCUGCCACCCUGCCGCCUCCCACGCUCGGCUUCAAUCUCAUCUUGUCAGUUUGGAUUUCGGUUCACUAAUUCAACUCAGAAGAUUUCUGCCUCUUCGUCACACCUGCCUGCACUGCUCCACAACUCCCAACAAUAUAAAAUAAAAAUGAUUAUUUUCCAUUA